AAUGAAAUUAUUUUUAAUGGCCGCAGUAAUUUGACUGUGCAAAGGUAGCAUAAUCAGUAGUCUUUUAAUUGAAGGCUUGUAUGAAUGGUUGGACGAAGUAUAAUCUGUUUCAUUUAAAUUUAUUAUAAAAUUUUAUUUUUUAGUAAAAAAGCUAAAAUAUAUUUAAAAGACGAGAAGACCCUAUAAAUCUUUAUAAUUUUAUUUUUAAAUUUUUUAUUUAUUUAUUUUAUUUUUAUAAUUAAAAUUAUUUUGUUGGGGUGAUAGUAAAAUUUAAAAAACUUUUAAUUUUUUUUUUAACAUUAAUUUAUGAAUUAUUGAUCCAUUAAUAAUGAUUAUAAGAUUAAGUUACUUUAGGGAUAACAGCGUAAUUUUUUUGGAGAGUUCUUAUUGAUAAAAAAGUUUGCGACCUCGAUGUUGGAUUAAAAUAUAAAUUUAGGUGUAGUUGCUUAAA
rnacentral:rRNA from 1 species